rnacentral:rRNA from 1 species
GCAAGUCGAGCGAAGCAAUUUAAGUGAAGUUUUCGGAUGGAUCUUAAAUUGACUGAGCGGCGGACGGGUGAGUAACGCGUGGAUAACCUGCCUCACACAGGGGGAUAACAGUUAGAAAUGACUGCUAAUACCGCAUAAGCGCACGGUACCGCAUGGUACAGUGUGAAAAACUCCGGUGGUGUGAGAUGGAUCCGCGUCUGAUUAGGCAGUUGGCGGGGUAACGGCCCACCAAACCGACGAUCAGUAGCCGGCCUGAGAGGGCGACC